rnacentral:tRNA from 1 species
GCGUCUGUAGCUCAGCUGGAUAGAGCAAUGGUCUUCGAAACCAUUGGCCGCAGGUUCGAAUCCUGCCAGACGCA